rnacentral:rRNA from 2 species
GAUACCGCCCUAGUUCUAACCAUAAACGAUGCCAACCAGCGAUCCGCCUGGGUUCCUCAAAUGACUCGGCGGGCAGCUUCCGGGAAACCAAAGUGUUUGGGUUCCGGGGGAAGUAUGGUUGCAAAGCUGAAACUUAAAGGAAUUGACGGAAGGGCACCACAAGAAGUGGAGCCUGCGGCUUAAUUUGACUCAACACGGGAAAACUUACCCGGCCCGGACACUGGAAGGAUUGACAGAUUAAGAGCUCUUUCUUGAUUCAGUGGGUGGUGGUGCAUGGCCGUUCUUAGUUGGUGGAGCGAUUUGUCUGGUUAAUUCCGUUAACGAGCGAGACUCCCAUCUACCAAGUAGCCGAUCCCAUCCCUUGCGUGGGACGGUCUUCUUAGAGAGAGAAGCGGCGUUUAGCCGCACGAAACGGAGCAAUAACAGGUCUGUGAUGCCCUUAGAUGUCCGGGGCCGCACGCGCGCUACACUGAAGGAAUCAGCGUGUGCUCUCCCUGUCCGGUAGGACUGGGUAACCCGUGGAACCUCCUUCGUGAUGGGGAUAGGGGCUUGUAAUUGUUCCCCUUGAACGAGGAAUUCCUAGUAAGCGCGAGUCAUAAGCUCGUGUUGAUUACGUCCCUGCCCUUUGUCCACACCGCCCGUCGCUACUACCGAU